rnacentral:rRNA from 1 species
UCUCUUGCUUCUGGAGGGGUAGGAGAGCGUCGUAUAAGAGGAGAAGUCAGAGCGGAAGCGCUGGUGGAUUUUAUACGAGUGAGAAUGCCGGAAUGAGUAGCGAGAAUUAUGUGAGAAUCAUAAUGGCCGAAAAUCUAAGGUUUUAGGAGGAAGGUUCGUCCGCUCCUAGUAAGCCGGGAGCUAAGGUGAGGCGGAAACGCGUAGCCGAUGCACAUACGGUUGAAAUUCCGUAGCCUCCGAAGGAUUUAAACAAAGGGACACUUUGAAAGCGAUGUUGCCGGGCGUUGGUUGCCCCGGUCGUAAGGGACCGAAAUUAAGUAGGGAAGUCAUCGUGGACGAAGGCGAGAAAAGCUUUGUGAAUAUCCAAGGAGCCCGUACCGCAAACCGACACAGGUAGAUAGGAAGAAAAUUCUAAGGCCAACGGGAGAAGGGUAGUUAAGGAACUCGGCAAGUUGACCCCGUAACUUAGGGAUAAGGGGUGCUCUCGAAAGAGAGCCGCAGAGAAUAGGCCCAGGCGACUGUUUAGCAAAAACACAGCUCUAUGCUAAAUCGAAAGAUGAUGUAUAUGGGGUGACACCUGCCCGGUGCCGGAAGGUUAAGAGGAGGAGUGAGAGCUCUGAAUUGAAGCCCCGGUAAACGGCGGCCGUAACGAUAACGGUCCUAAGGUAGCGAAAUUCCUUGUCAGGUAAGUUCUGACCCGCACGAAUGGUGUAACGAUCUGGGCACUGUCUCAACUACCCGCCCGGCGAAAUUGUAGUACCGGUGAAGAUGCCGGUUACCCGCGACUAGACGGAAAGACCCCAUGGAGCUUUACUGUAGCUUAAUGUUGAAUUUCGGUAUUUCAUGUACAGGAUAGGUGGGAGACUAAGAAGCAGGGGCGUCAGCUUCUGUGGAGUCAACCUUGGGAUACCACUCUUGAAGUGCUGGAAUUCUAACCUGCGGCCGUGAAUCCGGUCGGGGGACAUCGUUAGGUGGGCAGUUUGACUGGGGCGGUCGCCUCCCAAAGAGUAACGGAGGCGCUCAAAGGUUCGCUCAGCAUGGACGGAAACCAUGCUCUUGAGUGUAAACGCAAAAGCGAGCCUAACUGCGAGACUGACGGGUCGAGCAGUAACGAAAGUUGGAGUUAGUGAUCCGGCGGUAUGUGAGUGGAAAUGCCGUCGCUCAACGGAUAAAAGCUACCCUGGGGAUAACAGGCUGAUCUCCCCCAAGAGUCCACAUCGACGGGGAGGUUUGGCACCUCGAUGUCGGCUCAUCGCAUCCUGGGGCUGUAUUCGGUCCCAAGGGUUUGGCUGUUCGCCAAUUUAAGCGGUACGCGAGCUGGGUUCAGAACGUCGUGAGACAGUUCGGUCCCUAUCUGUCGUGGGCGUAGGAUAUUUGAAAGGAGCUGUCCCUAGUACGAGAGGACCGGGAUGGACGCACCUCUGGUGCACCAGUUGUCACGCCAGUGGCACAGCUGGGCAGCUAAGUGCGGAUCGGAUAAACGCUGAAGGCAUCUAAGCGUGAAGCCGUCCUUAAGAUAAGAUAUCCCAUCAGGUCAACUGAGUAAGACCCCUCAAAGACUAUGAGGUUGAUAGGCCUAAGGUGUACGCAUGGUGACAUGUUCAGCCUGCAGGUACUAAUCGGUCGAGGGCUUGACCG